AAGUCGUAACAAGGUUUCCGUAGGUGAACCUGCGGAAGGAUCAUUAGCGAAGCAGCAGAUGGUCAGGGCAAGUGCCCUGACACUAACAUCUCUCUACACACUGUGAACGCGGACUCGAUUGAGGGUGCACCGUGAGCGCGUGUGCGCGCGUGGCGCAGGGUAUGUGCAAGUUUUGCUUGUGCGUGUCCGGCUCUGCGUGUAUGCGCGUUUGCGGCACACACUCUAAACACACCGUUGACAAUUGCUUAAUAUUACAUAUACAACUGUAACCAAACACACAACUUUUAACAAUGGAUCUCUAGGCUCCU
rnacentral:misc_RNA from 1 species